UGCCAAGUUUUCCGUACCAUUUGAUUCCUUUUCUAAUUCACACUUUCCUUCGUUAUAUUCAACAGCAGCUAGUGGUUUUAACGUUGCGAACAAACGAAACGAAAGAUCAUUCUUGAGACUACCGCUUGAGCGA